AUGAAUCUCUGGGGCCAUACCUAUUCAAACCACCACAAGAAAAUAUUUUUGGUACUAACAUUUGUAUAGGAAGGUAUAAUUUCUUGGCUGUGGUUUAGAUAUUUGAUUUAAGAAGUGGCAGCCUGGUCUUUUGCUGUGUAAUAACUCAUGAAACCUUGUCUCAAGCAGAAGUCCUUUAUUUUCCUUAAGCAGGUCUUUUGUUAGUUGAUGCAGCCUGUCAACCCUUUCUUGCAUGCUCUGUUUCAACCAUGUCUGGGGCUGUAUACCCAUGAUUCCAGCACUCUGGAUACUGCGGCAGGAGGAUUGUGAGUUUGAGGCUAGCCUUGUCUACAUAAUAACAAAUUGUGUCUCAAAAAUGAUGCUUUUAUAUUAGGACAAUUAGGUGUGAUACAAAAUAUUUAUCAAAUAUAUGGAGUUUUUAAUAAAGCAAAUUCAUGACAUAGUAUAGGAUAUACUUCUUUAUUACAUAUUAAAUCAGGAUUAGCAGCAUGAAUGAUAAUGACUAUUUCUAUAUUCGCAAAAAUCGGUAAUUAUGAAGUAAAUUACGUUUCAAGAUACCUGAAAUAGUUAUCAUUUCAUACAUAUUUUAAGAUACUUCGUAAGUGCUGUGCUUUGUCAGACUAUUGCAUUUGAGAUUUAAAGAAAUGCAACAUUUAAUUAAUAGUUAACUACAAAUAAACACUUGUUUUCAUUCCUGUGUGCAAAUUUUGUUUUUUCCGCUAAGUGUCCUUAGGACCUCCAGGCUAAGCACCCUUGACUUGUACAAAAAAAAAAUGGCUCAGAGUGGUAAGUGAUAAGUGUCUGAUGACCUGAGCCCAAUUCCCAGGGCCCACUUUGUAGGACAAGAGAACUGACUUUUGCAAAUUGGCCUCUGAUGCUCACAUUCAUUCCAUGGUUACAGAUGAGUAAAAUAAUUAUUUUUUAAAUGAACAGGAAUCCACAACCAAACCACUCAAUAAUAUGUUUGUAUGAAUCCAUCAUUUGAUUAAUGGUUAUGAAGGGUGUUUUUGUGAAUAAAUCUUACUCCGUUUCCUUAUAGAGCUAGAAUGUUUUCAAGAACUUCCCACCAUGUGUGCUAUUCAGCUAUUGCCCUGAGUUCUUCAUACUGAACCAGUAGUUCUCAUUUUGUAGCAGUCCUAAUGGGUCCUCUAAGAACUCAGUUGCCCAGCAUCAAAUAGAUUUUUUUUAAAAAAGUGAUAGAAUUGGAAUUUUAACACAGAUAUGUGCCACUCCCGUCUAUAUACUAGAUUCACAUUCUCUUCUACCAUUUACUAAUCAAUGAGCCUGUACCACCCCAUCUUCCCAGGACGACAGCCUUGCCAGUGCUGCCCCCCCCCCCCAGAAAGGCUGGCCCUUAAUCCUCACUACUUCAACAUUUGAUUUUCCUUGGGGAAAUUGAUGGCUUUGGUGAACUUACUGUAGGCUGUCCCUGGUGCCUCCCCAAAUUGACAGAAGACUUCAGAGCAGCCCUGCCAACAAGAUCAGAGUGAGAAAUCCCCCCCCGUCACAGUCUGAGAUAAAAUGUGUUUUGUGGAAACAACAGUUCUGUGUUGAUUCAUCUUGAGCUUAUUCUCAGCAAAAAUCCCAAGCUGUUUUCACACAUGCUGCUGUGAAGCAAAACUCCUCCAUCUUGUCGAGCACAUGGUGAGCUGGAUCUGGGGAGCUCGCUCACAGGAAGAAUUCUCAUCUGCAGAUCUAGAGCAUACUAAGAGUCAGGAAGAGGAAGACAGCCCAGGAAUGUGCGAUUAUCUGUGGGAAACACCGUCUUGGAGCACAGCGGCUCCUUCCUUCCAAACUUACACUGAUUAAAAUAUGAUAGGAUUUUUCUUAAUUGAGCAGUGAUUCAUUCAUUCAAAUAGCAGUUCACUGAAGCAGACAUUUGCUUAAAGGAUCCCCCUGAUUGUCCAACUCUCUACCACCUACUCAUUGGUAUUGGCUGAGUAGUCUCUCUCCUGUCAUGCUGUGAUAUACAAGGACACAUUUGAUGAAGAAGGAAAUUUAAUGCUUAGUAACCAUAUUUGACGACGUAUUCAAGGACCAGCAGACUUGGUAGCCUGGGGAAGAGUUCUAUGUUGAUUUUAUCUUUACCAAACAGUGUGUUGGGAGAAUCGAAUGCAAGUGGUAACAGUGAUAUUCUUCUGUCAUAGAGAUUUGCAUCUCUUAAAGUCAUUUAUAUAUAGUCCUGUCCUUCAACCUAUUAUUAUGAAAGGUGUGUUCUCAGAAUGUGAUACAAGUUCUUAGCAUGGCUUUUAAGUGUAUGGCAAUAUUGCCAUACAUUUGCUUGUACAAAGGGACACAUUUACCUUAUCCAAAAUAUAAGAAGUCUUCACCUUGCAUACCAGUGUGGCUGUAAAGAAUGACCACUGAAAUCAUAUCCAGUUAAAAAUAACCAACAGCAGAUAUGACUUUUUCAUGAUUCUUAAAUAUGUCUCAAAAACAUUCAAAACAAUUUUUCCACAGUUUAUAGGAAGAUAUAAAUCUGGGAAUAUUAUAAAAUAAUACAUAAGUAGCACCCCCUGGUUUUACACUGAAAACUAAAGGGCAUUUUUUUUUUAAAGCACUUCCCAAGAACAGUUUGAAUCAUCAUUCAAACCUCCUGGCCUUCAUUUUUUUAAUCAGUGAUAGAGUCUGAGGAGAUAGCAUGGAUCCCCUCCCAGUAUUUCAGCCUUUGUGAGGUCACUAUGAAAUUGGAAAAUUUCAGGAAUGUCAUUCUUUUUUGCUGGUCCCGUUUCCUCUGGUACAUCUUCCACCUUUCUGAGGUAGCUGUUCUUCUCCUGACAGUGUUUGAAUUUGCCAAGCUCCCCUGGCUGCUAACACAACCACACAGCCUUGGGAUCUGUAGUUUCUGGUUUGUUUGUUUGUUUUUUCUAUAACUUUAGUUAUGUUUCGAAGGAAUGUCCACAGUCCAGGUUGCCACAUUUAGUUUCUCUGCUGUGCCUUUGUAUAGAUUAUGCCCCCAGGUCCCUCUUUUGAUUGCUUUAGUGAGGUAUUCUGAGAAUUUAUCAGUAGGAGGCCACAGGACAACAUAUACUUUGCUGGCCACUUUAUUGGAUGCACGUAACUAAAUUCCAGAUACCUAAUGAAUAAUCACUGGCAAUUUGAAAAGAAGCAAUUUUAGCAGUUACUGGUGAUUCUGUGCCUCUGUUUUCUACACUAUGAUUUGUGGACUGAAAAUGAUCUACUGGCAGAGUUUUGCUCAGAGUUACUAUUUCAUAGCAACAGAAACCAAACCAUACUCUUGGGGAAAUGGUAUUAUUUAACUCAACUAUGGUAGCUGAAAUUAGGCAUCUUGAAGCUACGGGAAGUAGGAGCUCCCUGUAAUCUGCAGAACUUAGUUCCAAGAGAACUGCCAAUAGCAAUUAAACUUCCAGUACACCUGAGAACACACCAAUAGCUAAGCAGCUGCUUCCUGCCUCAGUAGUCACACGUGGUUACCAGGACUGAGCAGCAUGAAAUAUGGAACCUCUCUGGCAUGGCGGGAAGUCCAUUCUUCAGCACUGGUCCAUAGGAAGUGAUGGAAGUUGGUCAAAUCAUCAUAGAUCUAUGACUAUCAAUUCCAUACAAGGUCCAAAAUAUUCUUCCUCCCAGUGUCAAUGAUUUGGUUUUGUGUUUGUUUCUUCACACACUAAAGAGAGCCCAGAAACAUUCUGAAUACCUUAAGUACACUGAGAUAUAUUUCUUUUGCACUUAGGGCUUUUAUAAUUACUAUGGAUUAUGAUUCUACAAUAUGUGUUCCAUUCCGUUGGAACUCGAAAGGAAGUAAAUGAAAACAAAAGGAGUGAUUUCCUGUUCCAAUAAAGCUUAGAGAAUGAUGAGCAAGAAAAUGGCAGACAGGGAUCAAAUGAGAACACGAAGGUGGAUGGUUGACCAAGUGUGGAAAUACCGAGUCAAUGCUUUCUGUUGGCACUGAACUCAGAUGUCGCUCUAAACAAUAUGGUAAACGCAUUAGUUCACAUAAUGGUUUAAGGGGCUUUACUGAAGGAAGCCUUCAGUGGAAUUCAUUUCCAUUGACUUAAAGAAGAAAAUAGCCAUUAUUUUAUGGUAUGAAAUAUGCUAUUAUAUGUCAGGGAGAGGGUACAGAAACUAUACCCUAAUGAAGCAGGUACAGAUACCAAUCAAGCUUUGGGAAGGCAACAAUUUAAGAUAUUCAGAGAAGUGAGCCCUGCUGAGAAGUGCUAUUUCUUGAUGGGAGCCCUGAAUUAGUGAUCAUAUUUCUUCUUCUAUUCUUGUUUUAGAGAUGCUGUCGGGUCACUGACAGUUGAUGUUAGUAGGAGAAAAGUGGAAACACUGUUGUUGUCUUUCCAUUUACAGACCUUGAAGACUUAAUGUUACCUUGCAUCUGGCCUGGAGAUAGAGUUCACUGGAA
rnacentral:sRNA from 1 species